UGGAAGGGGAGAGUUUGGAACAAGACCUUGGUCUUAGGGCGGGGGGCGCGGGAGAGUCCGCUCGGCCAGAGCGGGGAGCAGCGGGUCUCGCCGCGUCCUGGCGGGGCCCGACUCCACACCACCUCGCGUUCCUCUGACCUGGGUUCGCCCCACUUCCUCCAGGAAACUAUCGGACGCAGCUGUAUGACAAGCAGCGGGAGGAGUACCAGCCGGCCACCCCCGGCCUUGGCAUGUUCGUGGAGGUGAAGGACCCAGAGGACAAGAGGCUGAGAAAGGGAACACCUGGGGACAGUGGACCUCCCGCCUGCCACACUCACCAGCUUGCCAUCAUAGAAGAGGGCGAACCGGAUGGACUCGAGGUGGAGGCAGAUCUGGUGCUCUCCUGGAGACUGAGAGGUGAAGCACCACUUCUCUGCCCUCGUUAGAGUCUGCAUCAGACUCGGUGCCCCCUGUCCCCCGCACAGGCAAGAGAGAGGAUGCCUUGGCCAGACUGCUGUCCACCCAUUACCGACCCCCCAGCCCACCCCCGCCCCCGGCAGGGGAGGGGAGGUGGGAUCUGAGAUGGUGCCACGGAGCCCUAUUCCCCUCCCC